rfam:Otolemur garnettii contig035457, whole genome shotgun sequence.
GCCGGAUGCGGUGGCACGUGCCUGUAGUCCCAUCUACCUACAAGGCUGAGACAGGAGGAUGGCUUGAGUCCAGGAGUUCUGGGCUGUAGUGCACUAUGCUGAUUGGGUGUCUGCACUAAGUUCAGCAUCAAUACAGUGACCUCCCAGGAGCUGGGGGCCACCAGGUUGCCUAAGGAGGGGUGAACUGGCCCAGGUCAGAAAUGGAGCAGAUCAAAACUCCUGUGCAGAUCAGUAGUGGGGUGGCACCUGUGAAUAGCCACUGCAGUCCAUCCUGGGCAACAUUGUGAGAACCCAUUUCUA